GACAGAGGGGGCAAGCGUUGCUCGGAAUCACUGGGCGUAAAGGGCGCGUAGGCGGGAUGGCAAGUCGGUCGUGAAAUCCUUCGGCUCAACCGAAGAACGUCGGCCGAUACUGCCGUUCUUGAGGGAUGCAGAGGAGAUUGGAAUUCCCGGUGUAGCGGUGAAAUGCGUAGAGAUCGGGAGGAACACCGGUGGCGAAGGCGGCUGCCUGGACCAGUCCUGACGCUGAGGCGCAAAAGCUAGGGGAGCAAACAGG
rnacentral:rRNA from 1 species